UUACCUCCUAAGUGUUCGCUUCCACAAAAAAAAGAGGUGUUUACUUGCAAUCUAGCAAAUUUUUCAAAAGUGGAAAAAAAAAGUAAUAAAAAGAGGGGUAAAAAAAUAAAAAAGUUGCAAGGAAAUUCCUUUUCAUCUACACCUUCUGUAGAGGAGAAAGUAGUUAGCAGUUUUAGAUCUCCUUUAUCUGCCUCCGUUUGUAGAUUUGUUAAAAUAAAGAAGUCGCGAAAGGCAGCUAUAAAGAAAAAAAACAGACGUACUAACCGUAUUAUAAGAGCUUUAAGAAGUGCUGAUAAAACGAAAGCAAAACUUAUAAAGGUUAGGCGUCAUAAGUUAGGUGUAAAGUGAAUCUCAAUUAUCG